rnacentral:rRNA from 1 species
CCUACGGGAGGCAGCAGUGAGGAAUAUUGGUCAAUGGACGAGAGUCUGAACCAGCCAAGUAGCGUGAAGGAUGACUGCCCUAUGGGUUGUAAACUUCUUUUAUAUGGGAAUAAAAUGUUCCACGUGUGGGAUUUUGUAUGUACCAUAUGAAUAAGGAUCGGCUAACUCCGUGCCAGCAGCCGCGGUAAUACGGAGGAUCCGAGCGUUAUCCGGAUUUAUUGGGUUUAAAGGGAGCGUAGGUUGAUUGUUAAGUCAGUUGUGAAAGUUUGCGGCUCAACCGUAAAAUUGCAGUUGAAACUGGCAGUCUGGAGUACAGUAGAGGUGGGCGGAAUUCGUGGGGUAGCGGUGAAAUGCUUAGUUAUCACGAAGAACUCCGAUUGCGAAGGCAGCUCACUGGACUGCAACUGACACGGAGGCUCGAAAGUGUGGGUAUCAAACAGGAUUAGAUACCCCUGUAGUC